GUCGAGAUUUCAUAUUAGAUUUUUUUAGCAAUAGAGGAUCAGAUUUUUCAACAGAAGAUCAGCACGGGAUCAAUUUUCAGCAGCAAGAUUUUAGAUCUAGAUUUUCUCCAAAUUUUGUGAGGAAGGAAGAGAUCUGGAGGCUGUUGUCCAUCCUCUCUAGUCAGAUAUUUUUUCAGAUCCACCUUUAUGCUGUUUGUGAUUUGGUUUGAUCAUAAAAAAUAGUGGGAUGAACGUUAAAUUUGAGAAGUUUUAUGAAAAUGAGAGUUUCACCAUGUGAAAAAUUAAGAUGGAGGACCUGCUAGUUCAGAUGGGAUUGGAUUCGACCUUGAAGGAUAGAUCAGAAGGGAUGACCGACAAGCA
rnacentral:lncRNA from 1 species